rnacentral:rRNA from 1 species
CUGGCGGUGCUACCAUGCAAGUCGAACGUGAUCCGCCCUUCGGGGUGGUGAAAGUGGCGCACGGGUGAGUAACGCGUGGAUAAUCUGCCCGAGGAUUUGGGAUAACAUCUCGAAAGGGGUGCUAAUACCGAAUAAGCCCACGGGGUCUACGGAUCUUGCGGGAAAAGGGGGGGACCUUCGGGCCUCCUGUCCUUGGAUGAGUCUGCGUACCAUUAGCUAGUUGGUGGGGUAAUGGCCUACCAAGGCGACGAUGGUUAGCUGGUCUGAGAGGAUGAUCAGCCACACUGGAACUGAGACACGGUCCAGACUCCUACGGGAGGCAGCAGUGGGGAAUUUUGCGCAAUGGGGGAAACCCUGACGCAGCAACGCCGCGUGGGUGAUGAAGGCCUUCGGGUCGUAAAGCUCUGUCUGGAGGGAAGAAAUGAUUGGGAGCUAAUACCUCUUGAUCUUGACGGUACCUCUGAAGGAAGCACCGGCUAACUCCGUGCCAGCAGCCGCGGUAAUACGGAGGGUGCAAGCGUUGUUCGGAAUUAUUGGGCGUAAAGCGCGUGUAGGCGGUCUUUUAAGUCUGAUGUGAAAGCCCCGGGCUCAACCUGGGAAGUGCAUUGGAAACUGGGAGGCUUGAGUACGGGAGAGGAGAGUGGAAUUCCUAGUGUAGGAGUGAAAUCCGUAGAUAUUAGGAGGAACACCGGUGGCGAAGGCGGCUCUCUGGACCGAUACUGACGCUGAGACGCGAAAGCGUGGGUAGCAAACAGGAUUAGAUACCCUGGUAGUCCACGCCGUAAACGAUGAGUACUAAGGUGUUGCGGGUAUUGACCCC